rnacentral:rRNA from 1 species
UGGUGGACCUGUUGUUGCGCCAGCAGCAUUGCAGGGUAGCUAUGUACGGAACGGAUAACCGCUGAAAGCAUCUAAGCGGGAAACCAGCCUCGAAACUAGAAUUCCCUAUCAGAGCCGUGGAAGACCACCACGUUGAUAGGCUACGUGUGGAAGCAAGGCAACUUGUGAAGCUUAGUAGUACUAAUUGCUCGAUUGGCUUGAUCUU